rnacentral:rRNA from 1 species
UACGUAGGGUGCGAGCGUUGUCCGGAAUUAUUGGGCGUAAAGAGCUCGUAGGCGGUCUGUCGCGUCUGCUGUGAAAUCCCGAGGCUCAACCUCGGGCUUGCAGUGGGUACGGGCAGGCUAGAGUGCGGUAGGGGAGAAUGGAACUCCUGGUGUAGCGGUGGAAUGCGCAGAUGUCAGGAAGAACACCGAUGGCGAAGGCAGUUCUCUGGGCCGUAACUGACGCUGAGGAGCGAAAGCGUGGGGAGCGAACAGG